rnacentral:rRNA from 1 species
AUUGAACGCUGGCGGCAUGCCUUACACAUGCAAGUCGAACGGCAGCACGGGAGCAAUCCUGGUGGCGAGUGGCGAAUGGGUGAGUAAUAUAUCGGAACGUGCCCAGUCGUGGGGGAUAACGUAGCGAAAGCUACGCUAAUACCGCAUACGAUCUAUGGAUGAAAGCGGGGGAUCGCAAGACCUCGCGCGAUUGGAGCGGCCGAUAUCAGAUUAGGUAGUUGGUGAGGUAAAGGCUCACCAAGCCGACGAUCUGUAGCUGGUCUGAGAGGACGACCAGCCACACUGGGACUGAGACACGGCCCAGACUCCUACGGGAGGCAGCAGUGGGGAAUUUUGGACAAUGGGCGCAAGCCUGAUCCAGCAAUGCCGCGUGCAGGAUGAAGGCCUUCGGGUUGUAAACUGCUUUUGAACGGAACGAAACGGCGAGCUCUAAUACAGUUUGCUAAUGACGGUACCGUAAGAAUAAGCACCGGCUAACUACGUGCCAGCCGCCGCAGUAA